rnacentral:rRNA from 1 species
GAUGAACGCUGGCGGCAGGCUUAACACAUGCAAGUCGAGCGAGCGGCGGACGGUUGAGUAAUGUCUGGGAAACUGCCUGAUGGCGGGGGAUAACUACUGGAAACGGUAGCUACUCCCGCAUACCAUCAGAUGUGCCCCGAUGGGAUUCGCUAGUAGGUGGGGUAAUGGCUCACCUAGGCGCCGAUCCCUAGCUGGUCUGAGAGGAUGACCAGACAAAAGGGAAAUGAGACACGGUCCAGACGCCUACGGGAGGAAGCAGUGGGGAAUAUUGCACAAGGGGCGCAAGCCUGAUGCAGCCAUGCCGCGUGUGUGAAGAAGGCCUUCGGGUUGUAAAGCACUUGCAGCGAGGAGGCGUUACUCGCAGAAGAAGCACCGGCUAACUCCGUGCCAGCAGCCGCGGUAAUAC